GUGAACGCUGGCGGUAGGCCUAACACAUGCAAGUCGAACGGCAGCACCGUAAGAGCUUGCUCUUACGGGUGGCGAGUGGCGGACGGGUGAGGAAUACAUCGGAAUCUACUUUUUCGUGGGGGAUAACGUAGGGAAACUUACGCUAAUACCGCAUACGACCUACGGGUGAAAGCAGGGGAUCUUCGGACCUUGCGCGAUUGAAUGAGCCGAUGUCGGAUUAGCUAGUUGGCGGGGUAAAGGCCCACCAAGGCGACGAUCCGUAGCUGGUCUGAGAGGAUGAUCAGCCACACUGGAACUGAGACACGGUCCAGACUCCUACGGGAGGCAGCAGUGGGGAAUAUUGGACAAUGGGCGCAAGCCUGAUCCAGCCAUGCCGCGUGGGUGAAGAAGGCCUUCGGGUUGUAAAGCCCUUUUGUUGGGAAAGAAAAGCAGCAGGUUAAUACCCCGCUGUUCUGACGGUACCCAAAGAAUAAGCACCGGCUAACUUCGUG
rnacentral:rRNA from 1 species